UACGUAGGUGGCAAGCGUUGUCCGGAUUCAUUGGGCGUAAAGAGCGUGUAGGCGGCCAGGUAGGUCGGUUGUGAAAACUGGAGGCUCAACCUUCAGAGGUCGACCGAAACCAUCUGGCUAGAGUCCGGGAGAGGAGAGUGGAAUUCCUGGUGUAGCGGUGAAAUGCGCAGAUAUCAGGAAGAACACCCGUGGCGAAAGCGGCUCUCUGGAACGGUACUGACGCUGAGACGCGAAAGCGUGGGGAGCGAACAGG
rnacentral:rRNA from 1 species